rnacentral:rRNA from 1 species
CAGUCGCCACGGUAAUACAGAGGGUGCGAGCGUUAAUCGGAUUUACUGGGCGUAAAGCGUGCGUAGGCGGCUUUUUAAGUCGGAUGUGAAAUCCCUGAGCUUAACUUAGGAAUUGCAUUCGAUACUGGGAAGCUAGAGUAUGGGAGAGGAUGGUAGAAUUUCAGGUGUAGCGGUGAAAUGCGUAGAGAUCUGGAGGAAUACCGAUGGCGAAGGCAGCCAUCUGGCCUAAUACUGACGCUGAGGUACGAAAGCAUGGGGAGCAAACAGGAUUAGAUACCCGUGUAGUCCCUGUCUCUUAUAA